UUUUGGGCCGCAGUAAAACUACUCUAAAGAUCAGGGGCAAAAGGUGCAAAUUUUGGUUUCUGAUUUGGGCAAGAAAAAGGCCAUGGGCCAUCAUUUAUUUCUUUGAGCCGAACAUUACCCAAACCCAGCCGAAAGUCCAAGACAAAACAAACAGGCUAAUCCGUCUUUUAUCACUCAAACCCAACCAAAAUAAAGUAUGGGUCUAACCUUCUAGCCCAACCACAAAUAAGAAAUAAGCCCACCAAAAAAAAAAUUAGCCCAAUCCACUUUCCUUUUGUCUUUUCUUUUUCUUCUUCUCUUUUCUUUCUUCUUCCUCCACUUCCCAUCCGUUUCUUUUUCUUCUUCUUCGGCUAGCGGAAGAAGUUUCAGCUGGCAGCCAUGGCAGCGGUCCGGCGGCGGCAUCCACCUGCGAAUUUUCCGGUCACCAAAAUUUCUCAAAAUACACCUCCCCACUCCAUUUCUCUCGUAGAAUCCGUUUCCGGAAUUAUUUUUUACAAUAAAGGAAAACAAAGUGGUCAAAAUAGCAAAAAUCAGUCCGGUUUUUAUUCUUUUAUAACCCUUAAACCUUCACCAAAAAUCAUAAAAAUGAUGUCAAAACCCUCCUUAUAACCUCUACAUUACAACUAUAAUCUUAGUUUGACAAGUAAACAACAACAAAAUGAUGCAUUAAGUCAAAACAGCCCCAAAAAUGAAGAAAAUUAUUUUAAUGCUUAUAAGGCUCAAAAACUCCAAAAUUUUGGAUAACUAAGCAUUUCUAGGAUUUGUACUACCUGAUGGUCAUCCAUUGUUGACAAAAAAAAAAAAGCACAAAAGAUUCACUAAUUUGAUUUAUUUUUCAUUUUGGCAUUUUCACAAACACUUGACAUGCAUUCAUAGGCCCGUUUCUUUUUUCUUAAUUUUGUUCAUGGCUUAUUCCAAAAAAAACAGCAACAUCAGAAACCAAUUUAUUUCACAAAACCCACAAGAUUAUUGAUCAUCAAAGCCGAAGAAAAGAAGAAGAAAAAACCGAACCAGUUUGCAUUAAAAUAAGGAUCAACUAAAUCUUUGCCAAAUUUCCAGGAACUAUCUCGUUGGAAUCAAAACAAAAAAAAUAAAAGGAGAGACUUACAAUGGUUUUACAAUGGAGAUUAUUAUGGCAGUGGUGGUGGUAAUGGCACUAGCAGCAAGCUCCCAAGCUUCCCCUUUUUCGUCUGUGGCUUUCGUCUGUCGAGGGAGAGAGCCAAGAGGAUGUGAGAGUUGGAGUGUUUCUCUUCUUCUUGUUUUGUGAGAGAGAGCCCAGAGAUGUGUUGGAAGAAAAAGUGGAGAGUUGGUUUUUUUUUUUUCUCGUGUCUUGUCUCUCCUUUUU
rnacentral:lncRNA from 1 species